UGACAAACUUCAUUUCGAACAUAUAUUUAUUAGAAACGCCUCAAGCUGUGAAAACUAUGUUGUAGGUUUUGCGAUGUCGUUGGAAGUCAUCGUGCCUUCCGGUGUGAAGGGUAAGCCUCAAAGAAGAUUACAAAAGUAAAUAUUACUAAGGCCCCUUAGAAAGACCCAACAGUGAUAAAGUAGCGCAGCGCAUUCAAUCUGCCUAUCUCGUAGGAAUGGACGGAUUAAUUGAUAGAAAAAUAUUAUUGUAUAAAUAAAUUUUGUUAUAUAUUAUUCCAUUCCAUUUAAAAACACAGUCUGUUAUUGUACAUUUUAAUAUAACUAACGCGGUUUAUUAGUUUGAUACGUAGUAGUAAUCUCAAUAUUAACUGAUUAAGGUCAGAUUUCUUUGAAGUUGCCACUGGAUAAUUCGAGAGGUGGAACUUAAUUGAACCAUUAGUUUCUUUAUCACAACAUUACUUUGAUUUGAUGAUUUCUAUUGGAUGAAAAGUAAAUUGUUUUAAUUUUUUACAUCG